GAGUUUGAUUCUGGCUCAGAACGAACGCUGGCGGCAGGCCUAACACAUGCAAGUCGAACGAUAUAGUGGCAGACGGGUGAGUAGCGCGUGGGAACGUACCUUUCACUACGGAAUAGCUCUGGGAAACUGGUGGUAAUACCGUAUACGCCCUUAGGGGGAAAGAUUUAUCGGUGAAAGAUCGGCCCGCGUUGGAUUAGCUAGUUGGUGAGGUAAUGGCUCACAAAGGCGACGAUCCAUAGCUGGUCUGAGAGGAUGAUCAGCCACACUGGGACUGAGACACGGCCCAGACUCCUACGGGAGGCAGCAGUGGGGAAUCUUGCACAAUGGGCGAAAGCCUGAUGCAGCCAUGCCGCGUGAAUGAUGAAGGCCUUAGGGUUGUAAAAUUCUUUCGUCAGGGAUGAUAAUGACCGUACCUGAAGAAGAAGCCCCGGCUAACUUCGUGCCAGCAGCCGCGGUAAUACGAAGGGGGCUAGCGUUGUUCGGAAUUACUGGGCGUAAAGCGCACGUAGGCGGACUUUUAAGUCAGGUGUGAAAUCCCGAGGCUCAACCUCGGAACUGCAUUUGA
rnacentral:rRNA from 1 species